rnacentral:rRNA from 1 species
AUUGAACGCUGGCGGCAGGCCUAAUACAUGCAAGUCGAGCGAGCGGCGGACGGUGGAGUAAUGUAUAGUGACCGCCCGAUAGAGGGGGAUAACAACUGGAAACGGUAGCUAAUACCGCAUACAAUCGGAUAACGCAUAGGGGAUUAGCUAGUAGGUGAGGUAAUGGCUCACAUAUGCGACGAUCCCUAGCUGUUCUGAGAGGCUGAUCAGCAACACUGGGAAUGAGACACGGCCCAGACUCCGACGGAGGCAGCAGUGGGGAAGAUUGCACAAUGGGCGAAAGCCUGAUGCAGACAUGCCGCGUGUAUGAAGAAGGCCCUAGGGUUGUAAAGUACUUUCAGUCGGGAGGCGUUACCGACAGAAGAAGCACCGGCUAACUACGUGCCAGCAGCCGCGGUAAUUC